AAGAGACGUUGCCCUUCGGGGUAUACCUCCCACCCUUUGUUUAUUAUACCUUUGUUGCUUUGGCGGGCCCGUCCUCGGACCACCGGCUUCUGCUGGUCAGUGCCCGCCAGAGGACCUAAAACUCUGUUUGUUAAUAUUGUCUGAGUACUAUAUAAUUAGUUA
rnacentral:misc_RNA from 1 species